rnacentral:sRNA from 1 species
UUAUAGCCCUGAUAGCAGCGGUAUCAUGUUAUUGCGAUGGAAAUGAGAAGUUCAUUAUUAGAAUGCUUCGUUCCUCGCAAUGACAUAUUUAGCGAAUAGCAGGAAGAUAG